UACAGAGGUGGCAAGCGUUGUUCGGAAUUACUGGGCGUAAAGGGCGCGUAGGCGGUCCUCUAAGUCUUGUGUGAAAUCCCUCGGCUCAACUGAGGAACUGCACGGGAUACUGGAAGACUUGAGUUCGGGAGAGGGAAGCGGAAUUCCGGGUGUAGCGGUGAAAUGCGUAGAUAUCCGGAGGAACACCGGUGGCGAAGGCGGCUUCCUGGACCGAUUACUGACGCUGAGGCGCGAAAGCUAGGGGAGCAAACGGG
rnacentral:rRNA from 1 species